rnacentral:lncRNA from 1 species
CUGCAGUUCUGAUGAACUUGGAAUCAAGGGUACAUUAUUCUUGCUCCUGAUAUAAUGCUAAGCUGGGUUGUUGAUUUUUUUAUCACUUUGUUUCUAGAUAGUAGUAGUUCUGAUUAAAAGUGAGUUAUUCCAUAGUGUUUUGUGUCAAAAAUAACUUAUGUGUAAUAAAUAUAAAUAUUUAGUUUCUUUAAUAAACAUGUGUUACAUAUCACUUCUGCCAUAGUUAUAAUUGAAUUUGAUACGAGCUGCAGAUGAUUUAUCAUAUCUUUUCAACUUGGUUAAAUGAUUUCUCUAUCUUUGUAUACAGGCUCAAGUAACAUGUCUCUUUUUGGCCAUUGUGCUCCAUGAUCCUUCAACGUGACAUCACAUCAAUCGUUGAGGAGGUGACCAAUUUUUCUAGACUGCACUAGGAUUGUUUUUGUACUAAACUACAAUAUGUGCUUAUGUUUGUGCUUCAUGAAAUGGUGAAUCUAUUAGGUUCUUGUUCAGUUAGUACGUUUAGAUCUCUUAAAAUGGUGUUGUUAGUGUCUUGUCAGUAGGUGGAGUUGUUCUGUUAGUACGUUCAGUUCUCUUAAAUCAGUUCUAUCAGAUUUGUUUAUGGAUUGGGAAAAUUGUUUCUUGGUGUAUCAUGAAAUGAGUUCAAAUGCAUUUUAAAGAGUUUUGGUACUACUACACGAAGCCUUGAUAUGUUGUGCACUUGCAUACAAACACUAUCCAGUUAACUGUGUCAUUUUUUUCUUUAGUUGAUCUGCUGCACUUUACUGAUCACACUUGCUCUUAUAUUUUUUUGCUUGAGUAUUGAUGCUUACUUGCUUAGUACUCUUUCAGUUCCAAAUUAUAUUUCACAUGCAUGUCGCUAGCCGGGAUGCUACUUCCAUGAGACAUUGAAGCCCAUAUCAGAAGAGGUGCGCAAUCUCGAUGUUGUAGUAUCUAGAUUUCAUUUCAAG